rnacentral:rRNA from 1 species
UUAAUGGAGAGUUUGAUCCUGGCUCAGGACGAACGCUGGCGGCGUGCCUAAUACAUGCAAGUCGAGCGAGGGUUUUCGGACCCUAGCGGCGGACGGGUGAGUAA